UCGAGAAUUUUUCACAAUGGGCGCAAGCCUGAUGGAGCGACGCCGCGUGGGGGAUGAAUGGCUUCGGCCCGUAAACCCCCGUCAUUUGCGAUCAACCGUUGUUGUUAAGAGAUGACAACCUGAUAGUAGCGAAAGAGGAAGGGACGGCUAACUCUGUGCCAGCAGCCGCGGUAAUACAGAGGUCCCAAGCGUUGUUCGGAUUCACUGGGCGUAAAGGGUGCGUAGGUGGCAAGGUAAGUCGGAUGUGAAAUCUCCGAGCUCAACUCGGAAAUGGCAUUGGAAACUGCUUUGCUCGAGGGUUGGAGGGGGGACUGGAAUACUUGGUGUAGCAGUGAGAUGCGGAGAUAUCAAGUGGAACACCAGUGGCGAAGGCGAGUCCCUGGACAACUCCUGACACUGAGGCACGAAAGCUAGGGGGGCAAACA
rnacentral:rRNA from 1 species